UACGUAGGGGGCAAGCGUUGUCCGGAUUUAUUGGGCGUAAAGAGCGUGUAGGCGGCCAAGUAAGUCUGCUGUGAAAACUCGAGGCUUAACCUCGAGCUGUCGGCGGAAACUAUUUGGCUAGAGUCCGGAAGAGGAGAAUGGAAUUCCCGGUGUAGCGGUGAAAUGCGCAGAUAUCGGGAAGAACACCCGUGGCGAAGGCGGGUCUCUGGACAGUUCCUGACGCUGAGGCACGAAGGCCAGGGGAGCAAACGGG
rnacentral:rRNA from 1 species